AACAACCAUCCAAAAGCCAAGUUGUGGGUGCGUUCAACAGGGUGACAAAUCUCUUAUAUAGAGAUAGACGAAGCAGCACGGUGACAAUACAAAGAGAAAGAGAGUGGUGUGUGCAACAGCCUUCAUUUUACCACAUGAAGAUGGUUCUUCUGCUCGUUGUACUGGAGAUCAUUCUGCUCGUUACGAUGCCGUUUGGAGGGCUGGCAGGUCCGAGUGCGAGACAGAUAAACGAGAGUGACAACCCCAGGUGUCCCGCUUGCCGCAGUCCUCCUUGUCAUUGUUGAAAGUAUAUGGGGUUUUGUCCCAUUUAAUUUUUCAUUCCUCAAAAGUCAUGUAGACGCAUUACAGCUGGUUGCCUGGCAUCAGCAAAUUGUAGUCUCGCACAUGUACUAGAGUGGAGGAGGAAUGAGACCAUUGUAAUAAGGGACUCUCUCUCUCUCUCUCUCUCUCUCUCUCUCUCUCGUCGUUAGAGCAUGAUAAGAGGACUAGUACAGGCGCACCUUCUCCGCCGCCACACCGCACUACUCGCCUACAUCUUCGAUUCCUGGCGACUUAUUCAAACCUAUAAUAAGAAUGCUCCUCGGUGUGAUAGCAAUAUUGUUAGCCACCCAGGAGCAUGUGCUUCAUCAUUUUCCAAUUUGCAUCCUUUAUGUCAUUGUUAGGUUUUUGUGCUGUGUAACGACUACAUGCCUGGCAAUUU